rnacentral:rRNA from 1 species
UACGUAGGGUGCGAGCGUUGUCCGGAAUUAUUGGGUGUAAAGGGCUCGUAGGCGGUUUGUCGCGUCGGGAGUGAAAACACCGGGCUUAACUCGGUGCUUGCUUUCGAUACGGGCAGACUAGAGGCAUGCAGGGGAGAACGGAAUUCCUGGUGUAGCGGUGAAAUGCGCAGAUAUCAGGAGGAACACCGGUGGCGAAGGCGGUUCUCUGGGCAUGUCCUGACGCUGAGGAGCGAAAGUGUGGGGAGCGAACAGG